rnacentral:tRNA from 1 species
GCAGUGGUGGUUUAGUGGUAAAAUUCUCGCCUUCCAUGUGUGAGAUCUGGAUUCGAUUCCUGGCCAGUGCA